ACACUCCUACGGGAGGCAGCAAUGGGGAAUAUUGCACAAUGGGCGCAAGCCUGAUGCAGCCAUGCCGCGUGUAUGAAGAAGGCCUUCGGGUUGUAAAGUACUUUCAGCGGGGAGGAAGGCAAUACGGUUAAUAACCGUGUUGAUUGACGUUACCCGCAGAAGAAGCACCGGCUAACUCCGUGCCAGCAGCCGCGGUAAUACGGAGGGUGCAAGCGUUAAUCGGAAUUACUGGGCGUAAAGCGCACGCAGGCGGUCUGUCAAGUCGGAUGUGAAAUCCCCGGGCUCAACCUGGGAACUGCAUUCGAAACUGGCAGGCUUGAGUCUUGUAGAGGGGGGUAGAAUUCCAGGUGUAGCGGUGAAAUGCGUAGAGAUCUGGAGGAAUACCGGUGGCGAAGGCGGCCCCCUGGACAAAGACUGACGCUCAGGUGCGAAAGCGUGGGGAGCAAACAGGAUUAGAAAUCCUAGUAGUCCCAUGAU
rnacentral:rRNA from 1 species